GGAGCCACUAAUGUACAACCAAAUAAUGCUCAACCCAAGAAUGUACAGCCCAAUAAUUGGCGUCCAUGGUGGACGCGUAUUAUUGGGCUGUACAUUCCUGGGUUGAGCAUUCUCGGUCCGCGCAAGAUUGGUCCGGGGCGAUAAUACGAAGCCACUCUUUUCACAGGGCAAUAAUGUACGACCCCAUAAUUCGCGUCCACUAAUUUGAGUCCCUUGGCUUUCAAUUAUUGGGCUGCGCAUUAUUGGUACAGGUCGAGAAAGCCCGACCCAAUAAUGUACGACCCAAUAAUUGGAAGCCAAAAACCAGAGACAUUCUUUUUUUUAAGGGAGCUGUCAAAAUUAGUAGGGACGUUCUGACAUUAGCUCUUGACAAUUUAAAAAUAAUCGGUUUUUUCUAGUGCCAUCUUUCAGUGACAUUGACAGUAUUGACACUUGUUGGUUUACAAAUACAAUAAAUGAAUCCUAAUAAAAGAAACAGUAGACUCAGUAGAGGUACGAGGUACUGAAAAAAUAUUAAUUAAUGGAGAAGCCGAAGUUGGAGGAAAACAAGAAGAUUCGAGGAGAAUGGUGUGGCACUUAAUGCCGCCGGGACAGUAACCUAGCUGCAGCUCCAACUCUAGGGAAUUGCGCUGAAUGAACGCAACACGUGAUCGACAGCCCACCUGCUUCCUGCCGAGCGUCCCUACACUACCUCUACAUGGAUGCCUCGCUUAUUCUGCUCUACAAAACUUCUGAGCUGAUACAAGCAGCCAGAAUGAGUCUAUGCUGAGUCGCCGGCGCCGGACGUGCGUCUGUAGUCUUCGUGUGAGUCGCCAAUUGCAGGGGAAGAUACGAAUAGUUAGGU